CAGCCGCCACGGUAAUACGUAGGGUGCGAGCGUUAAUCGGAAUUACUGGGCGUAAAGCGUGCGCAGGCGGUGAUGUAAGACAGUUGUGAAAUCCCCGGGCUCAACCUGGGAACUGCAUCUGUGACUGCAUCGCUGGAGUGCGGCAGAGGGGGAUGGAAUUCCGCGUGUAGCAGUGAAAUGCGUAGAUAUGCGGAGGAACACCGAUGGCGAAGGCAAUCCCCUGGGCCUGCACUGACGCUCAUGCACGAAAGCGUGGGGAGCAAACAGGAUUAGAUACCCCCGUAGUCCCUGUCUCUUAUAC
rnacentral:rRNA from 1 species